AGCGAACGCUGGCGGCAGGCCUAACACAUGCAAGUCGAGCGCCCAGCAAUGGGAGCGGCAGACGGGAUAGUAACACGUGGGAACGUACCUUUCAGUUCGGAACAACCCAGGGAAACUUGGGCUAAUACCGAAUACGUCCGUAAGGAGAAAGAUUUAUCGCUGAAAGAUCGGCCCGCGUCUGAUUAGCUAGUUGGUGAGGUAAUGGCUCACCAAGGCGACGAUCAGUAGCGGUCUGAGAGGAUGAUCAGCAUCACUGGGACUGAGACACGGCCCAGACUCCUACGGGAGGCAGCAGUGGGGAAUAUUGGACAAUGGGCGCAAGCCUGAUCCAGCCAUGCCGCGUGGAUGAUGAAGGCCUUAGGGUUGUAAAGUCCUUUCGGCGGGGAA
rnacentral:rRNA from 1 species